UCUCCGUAGGUGAACCUGCGGAAGGAUCAUUACUGAGUUUUGAACGAAGUUGUUCUGGUCUUUCGGGGCAAGUGAACGCUUCUCUCAAUCCAUCUUACGCCUGUGCACCUAUGGGGGAAGACAUGGAUCUACGUUGGGUCACGACGGCGAUCUACAGGCUCCUCUUAAUACCAAAUAACAGUUUUAGAAAGUCUUUUUUGCUUGAUGCAUACUUAAAUAAAUACAACUUUCAGCAACGGAUCUCUUGGCUCUC
rnacentral:misc_RNA from 1 species